CGAUACGAGUUUGAUCCUGGCUCAGGAUGAACGCUAGCGGCAGGCCUAACACAUGCAAGUCGAGGGGCAGCAGGGGUAGCAAUACCCGCUGGCGACCGGCGCACGGGUGAGUAACGCGUAUGCAACCUACCCUCCGCAGGGGGAUAGCCCGCCGAAAGGCGGAUUAAUACCCCAUCGUCCCGGUGAACGGCAUCGUUUACCGGGUAAAGGAGCAAUCCGGCGGAGGAUGGGCAUGCGUGCCAUUAGCUAGUUGGCGGGGUAACAGCCCACCAAGGCGACGAUGGCUCGGGGGUCUGAGAGGAUGGUCCCCCACACUGGUACUGAGACACGGACCAGACUCCUACGGGAGGCAGCAGUGAGGAAUAUUGGUCAAUGGGCGAAAGCCUGAACCAGCCAUGCCGCGUGCAGGAAGACGGCCCUACGGGUUGUAAACUGCUUUUCCGGGGGAAGAAUAAGGGCGAUACGUCGUCCGAUGCCGGUACCCCGGGAAUAAGGAUCGGCUAACUCCGUG
rnacentral:rRNA from 1 species